CGCAAUAAACGUGAAGGACUAUAAUGCAUUAAGAGCUCACUUAGGUACUGGGGAGCUAAACCAUUUAGAGCUUUAUAAGUGUGGUGAUGUUAUCCCCCACUUUUCGUUAAUUAGAGCAAAAUGGUACAUUCCAUCUGUAUAAAAAAAGGAUGAGUCUGACAUCUAGGGCACGUCAUUUGGGGUCUCGGUGCUGACGUCAUUUCUGGUGCGCCGUGUUGAUGUCCUGAAGGUAAGCGUUGCUGGUGGCAGCUGCAGUCUUGCAUAUGUUUGGACGGGGUAAUUUGACACCCAUGUAUUUCAGUGUGGCUGAGGAGUAUGGUAGACGCGUUGAGCAACCUUAUUUCUGCGAACCUUGUGGCUUGCACGCCAUUGAGUGUGCGGGGUGGUGCGAGUCUUUAUUUGCAGUGACACGGGAGCCAGGAGGUGUUGCAGCAGGCUUUGUGGGCGCGGUUAAGCAUCGUAAUUCCUCUUGUUGAACAACACGAUUUAUAUCAUCUCUUAGCUGUAAUGAAUGCAUGAACUGGAGCGUUUUCAGACGGCUGGAUGGUUUCUUUCUCUCUCCGCGUUGGUUUCUUCGACCGUUCUUCUGCUGUAUACUGGAUGAUGUCAUUGCUGCGGCUUUGCAGGUAACACUAAUUCACGUCAUCACCUUGACGACCGGACCAACAGCGCGUUGCCGGCCAUCGGUGGCGCAUCCAGCCAAAUUCAAGAGACUUGAAUUUCCGCGAUCUGUGGAUUUAAAGGGGGUAAUUGGGGGCGAAACGCUACGUGUUUGUCACUACUAUUGUGUCGUUUUGUGUAUGCUGUUAUUUUGACUUUAUUUUUAUUCUGGAACCAGUGUUUGUGUUUCACCUGUUUGUUUAUCUGAUGCAUAUUUAUGGUAUGAUCCUGUGCUCUUAACAAUUAAUGAACAUCAGCUAGGACGAUCACUAUUGAUUUGUGACAUUGAUCCCUUUAACAGCAUGUGCUACGUAUUUUUGGUCAAACCAUAAGGUGGAAAGUGUUACUGUAUGUGUGCGCUUGUGUCUCAUCCUGUUCUCUUUUUCCCUUCAGAAUUGGGGUACCAGUAUUAGCCAGUGUCCUCUGUGUGUGGUGGUGGUUCGGCUGUCGGCUUGCAGUGUUCACAACGGGUGUUGUUGGUGCUGUGUUGUGAGAGCACGAGUGUUUGCUGUGUUUAUCCGAUAGGCAAGACGAAUUCCCCAGUUCUGAAGCGGUAAACUCAUGUCUGUAUGGAUGUGCAAGAAGUUUUAUGAGUGAUCGUACUCCUCUUUUAACUUUUAUACAUUAAAGAGAAUGGUCUUGUAUUUUUCUGAUGUUUAUUAAAUAAAAGUUUGUGUAAUGUA